CCUACGGGGGGCAGCAGUGGGGAAUCUUGCGCAAUGGGCGAAAGGCUGACGCAGCGACGCCGCGUGGAGGAUGACGCCCUUCGGGGUGUAAACUCCUGUUGCCCGGGACGAAUGCCUGUUUCGACAGGAGUGACGGUACCGGGUGAGGAAGCACCGGCUAACUCUGUGCCAGCAGCCGCGGUAAUACAGAGGGUGCGAGCGUUGUCCGGAAUCACUGGGCGUAAAGGGCGCGUAGGCGGUCGGGUAAGCGUGUGGUGAAAGUCCGGGGCUCAACCCCGGAUCGGCCAUGCGAACUGUCCGACUGGAGCACGGUAGAGGCACAUGGAAUUCCGGGUGUAGCGGUGGAAUGCGUAGAGAUCCGGAAGAACACCGGUGGCGAAGGCGGUGUGCUGGGCCGUAGCUGACGCUGAGGCGCGACAGCGUGGGGAGCAAACAGGAUUAGAUACCCGUGUAGUC
rnacentral:rRNA from 1 species